AGUUAGUUAGCUAACUUUAAGCGUGUACCUUGAAAGUACAAGACAGGUGAUAUUUAUCCUACUAACUU
rnacentral:tRNA from 1 species